rnacentral:rRNA from 1 species
UACGGAGGGUGCAAGCGUUAUCCGGAUUCACUGGGUUUAAAGGGUGCGUAGGUGGGUCUGUAAGUCAGUGGUGAAAUCUCCAAGCUUAACUUGGAAACUGCCGUUGAUACUAUAGCUCUUGAAUGUUGUGGAGGUGAGCGGAAUAUGUCAUGUAGCGGUGAAAUGCUUAGAUAUGACAUAGAACACCAAUUGCGAAGGCAGCUCACUACACAAAUAUUGACACUGAGGCACGAAAGCGUGGGGAUCAAACAG